UACGUAGGGGGCAAGCGUUGUCCGGAUUUAUUGGGCGUAAAGAGCGUGUAGGCGGCUUUACAGGUCCGUUGUGAAAACUCGAGGCUCAACCUCGAGACGCCGGUGGAAACCGUAAAGCUAGAGUCCGGAAGAGGAGAGUGGAAUUCCUGGUGUAGCGGUGAAAUGCGCAGAUAUCAGGAGGAACACCCGUGGCGAAGGCGGCUCACUGGCCCGGUACUGACGCUGAGGUGCGAAAGCGUGGGGAGCAAACAGG
rnacentral:rRNA from 1 species